UACGAAGGGGCUAGCGUUGCUCGGAAUCACUGGGCGUAAAGCGCACGUAGGCGGAUUGUUAAGUCAGGGGUGAAAUCCCGGAAGCUCAACUCCGGAACUGCCUUUGAUACUGGCAAUCUUGAGACUGGAAGAGGUUAGUGGAAUUCCCAGUGUAGAGGUGAAAUGCGUAGAUAUCGGAAGGAACACCAGUGGCGAAAGCGGCUCCUGGUCCAGCACCGA
rnacentral:rRNA from 1 species